AUUGAACGCUGGCGGCAGGCCUAACACAUGCAAGUCGAGCGAGCGGCGGACGGGUGAGUAAUGUAUGGGGAAUGUCCGAUAGAGGGGGAUAACUACUGGAAACGGUGGCUCAUACCGCAUACUGUCGGGUUACCCAUAUGGGAUUAGCUAGUAGGUAAGGUAAUGGCGUACCUAGGCGACGAUCCCUAGCUGGUCUGAGAGGAUGAUCAGCCACACUGGGACUGGGAAACGGCCAAGACUCCUACGGAGGCAGCAGUGGGGAAUAUUGCACAAUGGGCGCAAGCCUGAUGCAGCCAUGCCGCGUGUAUGAAGAAGGCCCUAGGGUUGUAAAGUACUUUCAGUCGGGAGGCGUUACCGACAGAAGAAGCACCGGCUAACUCCGUGCCAGUAGCCGCGGUAAUAC
rnacentral:rRNA from 1 species